UCAGUAAGAGCCCUGAGAGAUGAUCAGGUUGAUAGGUUAGAAGUGGAAGUGUGGUGACACAUGUAGCGGACUAAUACUAAUAGCUCGAGGACUUAUCCAAA
rnacentral:rRNA from 1 species